rnacentral:rRNA from 1 species
GACGAACGCUGGCGGCGUGCCUAAUACAUGCAAGUGGGACGCAAGGAAACACACUGUGCUUGCACACCGUGUUUUCUUGAGUCGCGAACGGGUGAGUAACGCGUAGGUAACCUGCCUAUUAGCGGGGGAUAACUAUUGGAAACGAUAGCUAAUACCGCAUAAUAUUCAUUAUUGCAUGAUAAUUGAUUGAAAGAUGCAAGCGCAUCACUAGUAGAUGGACCUGCGUUGUAUUAGCUAGUUGGUAAGGUAAGAGCUUACCAAGGCGACGAUACAUAGCCGACCUGAGAGGGUGAUCGGCCACACUGGGACUGAGACACGGCCCAGACUCCUACGGGAGGCAGCAGUAGGGAAUCUUCGGCAAUGGACGAAAGUCUGACCGAGCAACGCCGCGUGAGUGAAGAAGGUUUUCGGAUCGGAAAGCUCGGUUGUAAGUCAAGAACGUGUGUGAGAGUGGAAAGUUCACACAGUGACGGUAGCUGACCAGAAAGGGACGGCUAACUACGUG